CUCGUAAUGCCAUCACCACCGCACCAACGGCUGCAGGAGACCGGCCGUUAGAAGAUUGCGUGGCACUCCACGUUCGUCCUGAGCACGUCCAAGGCGGCUUCCUAUUCCCCCGAAACGUAUCUGGGCUCAGGAGUGUCUCCGUCUUCGGGUGGAGCAGACUGAACAAUUGUGGCUCAGUGUCCAAUAGAUGUAAAUGUUGCUAUCGCAACAAGCAGAUUUGUAACUGCUUGCUGCUCCCAAGUUCCAGUUUGACAGUAAAGAAGAGGACUGGCCUGAAUAUUGCUUACAACUGGAAUCCCACUUCGCAGCUUACAACAUUGAAGUUGGUGAUUUAAUUCUGCAACGUAAGUGUGACAUUAAACUCUUGAUGCGAAGUUUUUAUUUGGCAAUGAUGAAGGGUCUAAAUGGAGUGACAUUUAGUGAAGUAGUUACUCAGCACCUCAAAGGCUUGAAUUAAACUUAUAAUUAGUAUUUUUAGUAUUUUACAAUGAUGAUGACAUUAAAUGUCAAAAUGAAUUAUCAGUUAAAUACCCAUUUACUGUCAAUGCAUAACCUUCAAUCGUCUAAUCAG